rfam:Gossypium raimondii chromosome 7, whole genome shotgun sequence.
AAUCCAUGGUAUGGGUAUUUCUGGAUCAAUGUUUUAAAACAUUCCCAGGCCUUGUGAAAACUUUCCCCUUCAAUUUGUCUAAAAACAACAAUUUCUCUUCUCAGUUG